UGACAUGGACUUCCACGUGGACGAAAAAUUAAUUAAAAAAUAUUUAUUUUUUCGAAUGUUUUUUAAAAAGUUAAAUUUAUAUUAAAUAAAUCAAUUAAAUGUGUUAAUUAAAAAAUAUAUAUUUCUCUUGCCCUCUCUCUUCCCCACACAGCUACCCUAACCCCUGCCUUGCGCCCAGCCACCCCUCUCCCUCGCCCAAAUCCCGCCGGCGCUGUCACUUCCGUUCAACAAUUUCUCUGACCGGCGGUGGUUGUUCUGAUUGGCGUUGACACAUCUGGACAUACGAUGGGGCUGCUAUAUCUGCAACCACACCACUGUCUCUCUCUCUCUCUCUCUCUCUCUCUCUCUCUCUCUCUCUCUCUCUCUCUCUCAAGCGAAUACUGCAACCAAAUCCAAAGCUGGGGUCGGGAUUUUGGAUGAGAGGCGAUGGGUUAGCGAAUUUCAAGGGGACGGCUAGAUGUGGGGUGUGGGUUGCUGGGGAGUGUGGAUGUGGGUUGUGCUAAGAGGAUUUAGGGAUGACGCUGGGAUUUGGUUGUGUUACUGUGAUUCUUGAUUCUUUUUCUGCAAGCAAAGUCUUGAAAGACGACGAUGGAAACGAGAAGUUGGCCCAAUUGGGUAUCAAGAACAACGCCAAGAUUCUUGCUAGUCGGGUAUGUGCUGAAGAGGUCAAGUCUUUGAAGGAGGAAUUGCUGGCCGAAGACAAACGCUCUCAACAAUGUUUUGAUUUGGACCAUAACCCACUCAAACUCAAAUCGAUUUCAAAACCAGAUGAGAAUUUGAUAAGUUAUGGAUCAUUAAAUUUAUGAACUUGAUUAUAAAAAAAAAAAAAAAAAAACGUUGGACUAAGAGGAAA